rnacentral:rRNA from 1 species
GGAAUGAGUACACUCUAAAUUCUUUCCCAAGGAUCAAUUGGAGGGUAAGUCUGGUGCCAGCAGCCGCGGUAAUUCCAGCUCCAAUAGCGUAUAUUAAAGUUGUUGCGGUUAAAAAGCUCGUAGUCGAACUUGUGUCCCGCGCCGCUGGUUCAUCGCUCGCGGUGUUCAACUGGCGUGUUUCGCGGGACGUCCUGUCGGUGGGAUUGUGUGUUGCUUCGGUAGCGUACGUCCCUAUUCGUAGCCGUCUCGCGCGGUUGCGAAUCCCAUCGCGGUGCUCUUUAUUGAGUGUCGAGGUGGGUCGGCACAUUUACUUUGAACAAAUUAGAGUGCUUAAAGCAGGCCAAUUUUGCCUGAAUAUUGUGUGCAUGGAAUAAUAGAAAAGGACCUCGGUUCUAUUUUGUUGGUUUUCGGAACCACGAGGUAAUGAUUAAUAGGAACGGAUGGGGGCAUUCGUAUUGCGACGUUAGAGGUGAAAUUCUUGGAUCGUCGCAAGACGGACAUAAGCGAAAGCAUUUGCCAAAAACGUUUUCAUUGAUCAAGAACGAAAGUUAGAGGUUCGAAGGCGAUCAGAUACCGCCCUAGUUCUAACCAUAAACGAUGCCAGCUAGCGAUCCGCCGACGUUCCUCCGAUGACUCGGCGGGCAGCUUCCGGGAAACCAAAGCUUUUGGGUUCCGGGGGAAGUAUGGUUGCAAAGCUGAAACUUAAAGGAAUUGACGGAAGGGCACCACCAGGAGUGGAGCCUGCGGCUUAAUUUGACUCAACACGGGACACCUCUCCAGGCCCGGACACCGGAAGGAUUGACAGAUUGAGAGCUCUUUCUUGAUUCGGU